GCUGGAAACACCCCCAAACUGAAAAUGCAGAACAGCAAUUCAAACUUAUUAACCAUCAACCUCCAUUUUGAAUCUCACGUGAGUCUUCUUAGUUCUUUCUCUCUUCCUUCACUUGAAUCUCACAAAGAAUCAUUUUCAUCUACCACCAUUUUCUUCAUAUUUUCAGAAACUGAUACUCACUAUCAACCUACCCAUUAACUUAAAUUUCAUCUUCUUGAACAAGAUUGUUAAAUUUUAUUUCACUUUCCAUUGAAGUUUGGAGAUUGCAACUUAGUUUGGUUUCUAGAUCUGGAUUCAUAUAAGCUGUUGGUUGAUUUCUGAAACUUGAAGACAACCUUCCAAAUAGUAUUGAUUUUCCUGUAACUGGUGGUGCAUAUGAUUUCACAAAAGCAACAACAUCACUAACAAAUGAGUUAAUCACUUCAUCAAAGAAAGUCACUCUUUUAAGGCAUGGUCUUAGCACUUGGAAUGCAGAAAGUUGGAUUCAGGCGAUUUGCUCUCUACUUUUUAGUUAUUAGCUCUAUUAUUGAGUUCAGGGAGAUAUUUAACUUGCCUCGGAAAUGCUUGUAUUAUAUUUUUAUUUGUAUUACCGUUCUUGCGUUGCGUGGCUCUAGAUGACAAGGCCAAACCGCCACGAGCUUAUAAGUUCGUAUGGUUAAAAUAGAUUUGUUUGGUAACUGUCUUCUUUCACUAGCUUAAAGUGUUUUUUUUUUUUCACUACCUUAUAGCGUUUUUGGUAAGCUACUUCAAUUAGCAUUUGAACUUAUAGCUUUUAACAUAUCAUUUUCUCUCUCUCAACUUACCCUCAUUAUCUUAAUUGGUUUUUUUAAAAAUAUUAAUUGAAAAUAUCUUUUUAUGUCAUUUUAUAUUUUAUAUUUCUUAGUUUAAACGCUAGUUUUACUAAACACUUCAAAAUCAGUUAGAUAACUUAUCCUCUAUAUGUCAUCAGCUAGCUUACCCGUUAUCUCCUACUUUUACCAAUCAAAACCUAUGUCUCCAUCAUGAAAACCUUCAUCGAUCAUUUAAACUGUAAUCUUUUUACCACAUUUACAAUCCAUUGUCAUUAAAUUGAUCAUAUGUGUGUAGGGAAGCUCAGAUUUGUCAGUGCUAACUGAAGUUGGGGUGGAGCAACCAGAGAUAUCCAAGAAAGCUUUGGAAAAUAUUCACUUUGACCAAUGUCUUGCCAGUCCAAUACCUCGUGCCAAGCAAACUACUGAAAUUACAUGGCAAGGAAGGGAAAAACCAUUGGUUUACAUUGAUUCACUUAAAGAAAUAUCUCUAUCAUCUUGAAGAAGCAUUUGGACAUGUUAUUGAUUUAGUGUAAACAAGUGCACUUGAUACAGUUGUAAACAAUUUGACUUUUUGUGUUAUUGAUUGAGUGUUAUGCUUUGAUUUAGUUAGUGUUCUCAAAUGUACUUAUGAAAUUAUCAUUAUAGAUGCACAACACAAUGAUAUUUGGUAUCAAAUUAUGAAUCGAUGGUUAUCUGUUAUGGGGUC